rnacentral:rRNA from 1 species
CGCCAGACUCCUACGGGAGGCAGCAGUGGGGAAUAUUGCACAAUGGGCGAAAGCCUGAUGCAGCAACGCCGCGUGAAGGAAGAAGGCCUUCGGGUCGUAAACUUCUGUCCUUGGGGAAGAAGAACUGACGGUACCCAAGGAGGAAGCCCCGGCUAACUACGUGCCAGCAGCCGCGGUAAUACGUAGGGGGCAAGCGUUAUCCGGAUUUACUGGGUGUAAAGGGGGCGCAGACGGCGAUGCAAGCCAGGAGUGAAAGCCCGGGGCCCAACCCCGGGACUGCUCUUGGAACUGCGUGGCUGGAGUGCAGGAGGGGCAGGCGGAAUUCCUGGUGUAGCGGUGAAAUGCGUAGAUAUCAGGAGGAACACCGGUGGCGAAGGCGGCCUGCUGGACUGCAACUGACGUUGAGGCCCGAAAGCGUGGGGAGCAAACAGGAUUAGAUACCCCAGUAUA